GACGAACGCUGGCGGCGUGCUUAACACAUGCAAGUCGAACGGAAAGGCCCUGCUUUUGUGGGGUGCUCGAGUGGCGAACGGGUGAGUAACACGUGAGUAACCUGCCCUUGACUUUGGGAUAACUUCAGGAAACUGGGGCUAAUACCGGAUAGGAGCUCCUGCUGCAUGGUGGGGGUUGGAAAGUUUCGGCGGUUGGGGAUGGACUCGCGGCUUAUCAGCUUGUUGGUGGGGUAGUGGCUUACCAAGGCUUUGACGGGUAGCCGGCCUGAGAGGGUGACCGGCCAAAUUGGGACUGAGAUACGGCCCAGACUCCUACGGGAGGCAGCAGUGGGGAAGAUUGCACAAUGGGCGGAAGCCUGAUGCAGAAAAGCCGCGUGCGGGAUGACGGCCUUCGGGUUGUAAACCGCUUUCGCCUGUGACGAAGCGUGAGUGACGGUAAUGGGGAAAGAAGCACCGGCUAACUACGU
rnacentral:rRNA from 1 species